UAUGCCAUGGAUCUCAUCUAUUCCCCUUAAACAAGGGAUAACGUGGGUUCCGACCUGGAAUCUGGACCCCCAAUUAUAGUGUGUUUAAAGAGAUUGGAGGAACUCUUCCUCGGUCUCUGUAUCCAAAGAUACUGGUAAUUAGAGCUUCAAGUGUUCGGUUCUACUCUCCCGAUGCUACAGCAGAAACUAUAGCUAUACGUGGCGGCCCCACACGCAGCUUUGUUUAACAAGCAUCACCCUUCCUUUCUUUUCAAAUGCUUCCUCAGUCA
rnacentral:lncRNA from 1 species